rnacentral:lncRNA from 1 species
ACGCGAUGAACACGUAGAAAAAACGGAGGGUAAAAACGUAGUGUUUUUUCGUCGACGACCUCCGAAGCCAGAAAGAAGUCUAUGCGAAAGGACGAUUCUAGUAACAUGGAAGGGAAGCCUGUGAUGAAACAAGAUCCUUCCGAGAAGUAAUCAUGAAGCGGAAAGUACAACUUUAAUAUGCCUCAUUUUCUCAUUGGAGCAGACCAUUGCAGCCUCAUCAGCUGGUUGAGUCUGUUGCAGUAGCAUGCGCGACCGUUCAACGGUAAAUGGGAAAACAGUGACAUUUUCUUGGAGAGAAGAUACCCCUAACCUACAGGAAGCGUUCAAAAAGUGCGCUGCUAUGCUACAAUAUUUGGCCCUCACUAAAUGAAGUACAUGUAGGCCUAGUUUUUUUUCUGUGUAGCCUACAUGUACAUGUACAUGUAGGCCCUACUUAAGUCUUUGUUGUCACUCUAAGUCUAAUCCAUGUCACAUUUGCAGUUCUACAUGUACAUGUAAAUUGUAACUGUACAACUUCUGCACACAGAAACUAAAAGAGGUGCUACAUUUUUUUCUGCAGAUAUUUGUAAAAAUUAUUAAAUUUAAAUAGAUACAUGCAGUGCUAGAUACAUGUAAAGUAGCGGCCAAACUCAGAUUUCUUCUUUUUGCCUAGUGAGGGCACUGUACCAGAAAGAUGGUAACCAAGCUCUCCUUAGCAACAUAGAUUUAGCGUUGUAGAGUUUGCAACUUGUGUGUUAAAUUCUUCGCCCAAAGCAAUAAUCGCUGAGGUUUAUUAAACGGUUGGUACAGCAGUUUACUGUUAAACAAUUUCUAUAAAUUAUGUAGUGAUAAGUGUGAUAUUUAGUACCGUUUUAUAGCCUAUAAGUUGCAUUUUCAACGCAUUUGUUGGUUGCAUAGUCACGGUAUUGUGGAACCUGUUAAAAGCACAUGUACUGCAGGUCGAGAUUUAUACAGGGUGUACCUAAACCCUUCUUGCAUUUAGACAUCAGUAUUCUUUUAAUGUGGAGUAGCUAGUAUAAAUGCAAAUUGUUGGACUGACACUGGAUUUAGGUCAUAGUUGAUACACUCACUCCAUGUACAUGUACAUUGUAGGGGCCUACAUGUGUAUUUACAUAAACAUUGCUUUGGACAUGUGUGUGCAUGUGUUUGGAACAUGUAAGUGAUAUGUAAUGAGCUAAUUCUGUUACAAUAAGGUUACACAAAUACACAUGUACUGGGUAAUUUCUUGUAACAAAUACAUACAUUUUAUUUUCUAUUUUAUUGUAGUCAAUCUGUGCCUGACAUGUACCACUACAAAACUGUAUUAGCAGAAGUUGUACUACACAGUAAAGUUUCUGGAUCUGCAGCACAGCAUUGUCGUCUUUAAUCUUUGGCAGAUUCAUGUAAAUUUUACAGAGAGUUGUGUUACUAGGGGCCAAUCACAAGUUUAAACUUCACACUCCGCCCCCCAUCCCCCACCCAAUUCACCAAAUGUCCCAUCCUCCAGUGCCUCCACCCCAACCCCCAUUCCACCCCUAACCCCCACCCCACCCCUGUCCCCCACCUUUGUCAAACAGAUAUCAGGAUAUUCAUAUUGCACAAAACUUAGAAUGGUGCACCUUUAGUUCAUUUUGUUCAAAUGUUUGUGUAAUCUCAUGAAAUGAUGUUAUAGUGUUACAGGUUGAGCAUGGUUAACUGUACAUACAUGAUAUUUUGAAAAGCACAAUUGUAUACAUUGUAUACUUCUCAAAAAAAAUGUUUACAACACAAGUGAUAUUAAUAUAACUGCUAAUUUAACAUUACAAUGUGGGUUUUUUUGGAUGAGAUAUUAAAGCAGUGGUUUAAUAAUUAA